CCUACGGGAGGCAGCAGUGGGGAAUCUUGCACAAUGGAGGAAACUCUGAUGCAGCGAUGCCGCGUGAGUGAAGAAGGCCUUUGGGUUGUAAAGCUCUUUUGUAGGGGAAGAUAAUGACUGUACCCUAAGAAUAAGGUCCGGCUAACUUCGUGCCAGCAGCCGCGGUAAUACGAAGGGACCUAGCGUAGUUCGGAAUUACUGGGCGUAAAGCGCGCGUAGGCCGUUGAGUUAGUUAAUUGUGAAAUCCCAAAGCUUAACUUUGGAACUGCAAUUAAAACUGCUCGACUAGAGUUUGAUAGAGGAAAGCGGAAUACAUAGUGUAGAGGUGAAAUUCGUAGAUAUUAUGUAGAACACCAGUUGCGAAGGCGGCUUUCUGGAUCAACACUGACGCUGAGGCGCGAAAGUAUGGGUAGCAAAGAGGAUUAGAUACCCUCGUAGUCCAUACCAUAAACGAUGAUUGCUAGAUGUUGGAAACUUUAUUUUACAGUUAUCGCAGCUAACGCAUUAAGCAAUCCGCCUGGGGAGUACGACCGCAAGGUUAAAACCUCAAAGGAAUUGACGGCUGAGAGNGCGACGACGACGACGAGGAGAG
rnacentral:rRNA from 1 species